rnacentral:rRNA from 1 species
GCUGGCGGCAGGCCUAACACAUGCAAGUCGAGCGCUACCUUCGGGUGGAGCGGCGGACGGGUUAGUAACGCGUGGGAACGUACCCAGAUCUAAGGAAUAGCCACUGGAAACGGUGAGUAAUACCUUAUACGCCCUUCGGGGGAAAGAUUUAUCGGAUUUGGAUCGGCCCGCGUUAGAUUAGAUAGUUGGUGGGGUAAUGGCCUACCAAGUCUACGAUCUAUAGCUGGUUUUAGAGGAUGAUCAGCAACACUGGGACUGAGACACGGCCCAGACUCCUACGGGAGGCAGCAGUGGGGAAUCUUGGACAAUGGGCGCAAGCCUGAUCCAGCCAUGCCGCGUGAGUGAUGAAGGCCUUAGGGUCGUAAAGCUCUUUCGCCAGAGAUGAUAAUGACAGUAUCUGGUAAAGAAACCCCGGCUAACUCCGUGCCAGCAGCCGCGGUAAUACGGAGGGGGUUAGCGUUGUUCGGAAUUACUGGGCGUAAAGCGUACGUAGGCGGAUUAGUCAGUCAGAGGUGAAAUCCCAGGGCUCAACCCUGGAACUGCCUUUGAUACUGCUAGUCUUGAGUUCGAGAGAGGUGAGUGGAAUUCCAAGUGUAGAGGUGAAAUUCGUAGAUAUUUGGAGGAACACCAGUGGCGAAGGCGGCUCACUGGCUCGAUACUGACGCUGAGGUACGAAAGUGUGGGGAGCAAACAGGAUUAGAUACCCUGGUAGUCCACACCGUAAACGAUGAAUGCCAGUCGUCGGGCAGUAUACUGUUCGGUGACACACCUAACGGAUUAAGCAUUCCGCCUGGGGAGUACGGUCGC